CAUCCUCGUUGGCACGUCGUCUGAUGCCUAGCUCUGUUACUAUUUGUAAUCGUCUAAGCCUGCAGCUAGUAGAUAUUAUUCGUUUUGACCCAUUAUGUAUCACUUUCAGCUUCAUGGUUUUUAAACACGUCUGUUAGGGAGAGGUUUCCACACCCAUAAGGAAUGUUUCGU